rnacentral:rRNA from 1 species
UACGUAGGGGGCAAGCGUUGUCCGGAAUUAUUGGGCGUAAAGAGCGCGUAGGCGGUCCGAUAAGUCGGCUGUGAAAGUCCAGGGCUCAAUCCUGGAAAGCCGGCCGAUACUGUCGGACUAGAGUCCGGAAGAGGCAAGUGGAAUUCCCGGUGUAGCGGUGAAAUGCGCAGAUAUCGGGAGGAACACCAAUUGCGAAGGCAGCUUGCUGGGACGGUACUGACGCUGAGGCGCGAAAGCGUGGGAGCAAACAGG